rnacentral:rRNA from 1 species
AAUUUUAAGGUCAAGCUACAAAGGGCGCAUGGUGAAUGCCUUGGCACUAGGAGCCGAAGAAGGACGCGAUAAGCUGCGAUAAGCCUUGGGU